CCUACGGGAGGCAGCAGUGGGGAAUAUUGGACAAUGGGCGGAAGCCUGAUCCAGCAACGCCGCGUGAGGGGUGACGGCCUUCGGGUUGUAAACCUCUUUCAGUACCGACGAAGCGCCGAUGAUGGUGGUGACGGUAGGUACAGAAGAAGCACCGGCCAACUACGUGCCAGCAGCCGCGGUAAUACGUAGGGUGCGAGCGUUGUCCGGAAUUAUUGGGCGUAAAGGGCUCGUAGGCGGUUUGUCGCGUCGGGAGUGAAAAUCCAGGGCUUAACUCUGGACUGGCUUUCGAUACGGGCAGACUAGAGGUAUGCAGGGGAGAACGGAAUUCCUGGUGUAGCGGUGAAAUGCGCAGAUAUCAGGAGGAACACCGGUGGCGAAGGCGGUUCUCUGGGCAUUACCUGACGCUGAGGAGCGAAAGUGUGGGGAGCGAACAGGAUUAGAUACCCCUGGUAGUCCACACCGUAAACGUUGGGCGCUAGGUGUGGGGCCCUAUUCCAUGGGUUCCGUGCCGCNGCUACGCAUAGUCGCCCGCCGUCGGGAGGUACGGCCGGCGACGGACGUAAACGUUAAAACGGUAAAGUUAGACGGCGUGAGACGUGCCGACGGACGACGACGAGGGAGGUAGG
rnacentral:rRNA from 1 species